UACAGAGGUCUCAAGCGUUGUUCGGAUUCAUUGGGCGUAAAGCGCACGUAGGCGGCCUCAAAAGUCGGAUGUGAAAUCCCGGGGCUCAACCUCGGAACUGCCUUUGAUACUGCAAAUCUCGAGUCCGGAAGAGGUGAGUGGAAUUCCUAGUGUAGAGGUGAAAUUCGUAGAUAUUAGGAAGAACACCAGUGGCGAAGGCGGCUCACUGGUCCGGUACUGACGCUGAGGUGCGAAAGCGUGGGGAGCAAACAGG
rnacentral:rRNA from 1 species